rnacentral:rRNA from 1 species
GAUGAACGCUGGCGGCAUGCCUAAUACAUGCAAGUCGAACGAGAGGAAGGAAAGCUUGCUUUUCUGAAUCUAGUGGCGAACGGGUGAGUAACACGUAGGUAACCUGCCCAUGUGCCCGGGAUAACUUCUGGAAACGGAUGCUAAAACCGGAUAGGUAGCAGACAAGCAUUUGACUGCUAUUAAAGUGGCUAAGGCCAUGAACAUGGAUGGGCCUGCGGUGCAUUAGCUAGUUGGUGAGGUAACGGCCCACCAAGGCGACGAUGCAUAGCCGGCCUGAGAGGGCGGACGGCCACAUUGGGACUGAGAAACGGCCCAAACUCCUACGGGAGGCAGCAGUAGGGAAUUUUCGUCAAUGGGGGGAACCCUGAACGAGCAAUGCCGCGUGAGUGAGGAAGGUCUUCGGAUCGUAAAGCUCUGUUGUAAGAGAAAAACGACAUUCAUAGGGAAUGAUGAGUGAGUGAUGGUAUCUUACCAGAAAGUCACGGCUAACUACGUGCCAGCCGCCGCGGUAA